rnacentral:lncRNA from 1 species
GAAAAUUUAAAAUUUAAAAUGUAAUUUCAAAUUUUAAAAUUUAAAAGUUAAAAUUUUUAAUUUUCAAUUUAAAAUUAUAAGUUUAAAAUUUAAAAAUUUAAAUUCAAUUAUAGGGGUAAUAUCAUUAUUUUCUAUUUAUAACUAACAACUAUUCCUCUUAUUCCCAAUAACCAUCCAAACACAAUUUUUCUAGUUCCAACUUAUACUCACAUUUUCAUCCAGACAAAAAAAUAUCCUUGUUCUUACAAAAAUCCAUACUUUUACCUAUCCCCGGUAUAACUAGUUUCUCACGCCCCGAGCUCCGCCAAUUUGGUCGGAUUCGAGCACAUGAUAGACGCCGAACGGACAGUACCUCCCAUGUCUGUCCAAGGCUCCAACAACAAGUAUAUUACACGCAAGUCAAAAGAGAAUUGCGGAAUAUACAAGGUU